rnacentral:rRNA from 1 species
GACGAACGCUGGCGGCGUGCCUAAUACAUGCAAGUAGGACGCAGUUGCGAACGGGUGAGUGACGCGUAGGUAACUACCUGUUAGAGGGGGUGAACAAUUGGAAACGAAAGCUAAUACCGUAUACUGGUAGAUGGAGCUGCGUUGUAUUAGCUAGUAGGUAGGGUAAUGGCUUACCUAGGCAACGAUACAUAGCCGACCUGGGAGGGUGAUCGGCCACACUGGGACUGAGACACGGCCCAGACUCCUACGGGAGGCAGCAGUAGGGAAUCUGCGGCAAUGGGGGGAAGCCUGACCGAGCAACGCCGCGUGAGUGAAGAAGGUUUUCGGAUCGUAAAGCUCUGUUGUUACGGAAGCGGUACUUAACCAGAAAGGGACGGCUAACUACGUGCCAGCAGCCGCGGUAAUAC